AUUGAACGCUGGCGGCAUGCUUUACACAUGCAAGUCGAACGGUAACAGGCCGCAAGGUGCUGACGAGUGGCGAACGGGUGAGUAAUGCAUCGGAACGUACCCAGUCGUGGGGGAUAACUACUCGAAAGAGUAGCUAAUACCGCAUACGAUCUAUGGAUGAAAGCGGGGGACCGUAAGGCCUCGCGCGAUUGGAGCGGCCGAUGUCAGAUUAGGUAGUUGGUGGGGUAAAGGCUCACCAAGCCAACGAUCUGUAGCUGGUCUGAGAGGACAACCAGCCACACUGGGACUGAGACACGGCCCAGACUCCUACGGGAGGCAGCAGUGGGGAAUUUUGGACAAUGGGCGCAAGCCUGAUCCAGCAAUGCCGCGUGCAGGAAGAAGGCCUUCGGGUUGUAAACUGCUUUUGUACGGAACGAAACGGCUCUGGUUAAUACCCGGGGAUAAUGACGGUACCGUAAGAAUAAGCACCGGCUAACUACGUG
rnacentral:rRNA from 1 species